GAGAACUCUGACCAUCGACGCGCGUGAGGGAUGAGGCCUCGGGUUGUAAACCUCUCUCAGCAGGGAAUAACGAAGUGAAGGUACCUGCAGAAGAAGCACCGGCUAACUAUGUGCCAGCAGCCGCGGUAAUACAUAGGGUGCAAGCGUUGUCCGGAAUUAUUGGGCGUAAAGAGCUCGUAGGUGGUCGAUCACGUCGGAUGUGAAAAUCUGAGGCUUAACCUCAGACCUGCAUUCGAUACGGGUUGACUAGAGUGUGGUAGGGGAGACUGGAAUUCCUGGUGUAGCGGUGGAAUGCGCAGAUAUCAGGAGGAACACCGAUGGCGAAGGCAGGUCUCUGGGCCAUUACUGACACUGAGGAGCGAAAGUGUGGGGAGCGAACAGGAUUAGAUACCCUGGUAGUCCACACCGUAAACGGUGGGCGCUAGUUGUGGGAACCUUCCACGGUUUCUGCGA
rnacentral:rRNA from 1 species